rnacentral:lncRNA from 1 species
CACCUCAGCGACCCCGACCCCCGCCGCUGGGAUUUCCCGCCGCAGCUCCUGCUCCAGUCUGUGCUGCGGGUGGGGUCGGGUUGAGCAGCCCGGCGCCCCCCACCGCGCCCCUCACCGCACCGCCCUCGAUCUAACCCCGCCCCCGGGCGCUCAUUGGCCUGCAGCACCCCCUCCCCAGCCUGUGAAGUGAGCAGAGGGAGGCGGUGGUCGGUCGCCUCCCUCCAGCGCCCAGCCUGGCUUCGCGGCGGAGGCGGCGCCUCUCCCGCAGGACGGAGCCAAGCUGGACUCCACACAGGCGCGGAGACCGGGCUCGGCGCGCGCUCCUCGGCGCACACGCUCCCCAUCCCCGCGCCGCGCGGGCCGCGGACUCGCAGGCUGCGCGUCCUUUGCGGAGUCUGCCCCGGCCCCACGGACAGGCCCCGCAGUGAGCAGGUAAGGGUCGCCCCGCCGCGGCUGCCCCUCCACGCCUCGGCCGUCUUCUCCCCGCUCCAGAACCUUCGCCCAGCCGGGACCUCGGAUCCCCUCCUCUGGCUUGGCGGUCUCCGCCAGCCGCGACCUCCACCGACGGAGAGCGGGCGAGGGCCGGCGCCAGGCAAGCCUCCCAGAUCUGAAAUGAAGCCCCCUCCCGCCGCUGCGCCCUUCCUGCGCGUCAGGCUGACACCCCCCAACCCAAGUGUCUGGCGCUGCGCUCGGGGCGGCCGAUCGCCGCAGACUGCCGGGGUGGGGGUCGACCUAGCUAUCUCACGCCCCUCCUGAUGCGGAGAAGGGAGACCAGGGGGGCAGGCAAGCCAUGCGGCCGGAGGGACAUGCCUCCCUACCCUUAGGUGGACGGACGCACCUAAGCGGAUCGGGAAGGCAGGGCUGGAGGGUCCCCCGGGGCUAGGUACCGCAAUCCGCACGGGGUUUGAGGGCUGGGCAAGCAAUGUGCUAGGUGGGGGUUGGGGUAGGGGCCAGUGUAGAAUGCCCCUCUGUGGUGACACAUUCGGGAUUGUUCAAAAGAGUGUCGUCUUCGUUUCCCGUGGCGCGGAGGGGCUGGGGUUGGGGAUGCCAGGGCUUCGGUGGUCCUCAGAAGAAACGCCCUGCGGGGUCUGUGGGGAAACGCACCGGCCUUCCCAGGUUGAAGUGGGCCCGCUGAGACCCCUGCCUGCCGCUUUAGAGGCAGAAGCUCCUGCGGCAGCUGCGGGGGGCAGAGGCCAUAUCCUCGGCGGGACCUUGGCAGGUUAGGGGGCUCAGAAGGGACAGGGGAGCCAAUGGAUGCAACUAGACCCUCAGGAGGGAACCCAGCCGGAAGCCGAUUGCAUUUCACUUGGAGCUGAGGAGCGGAGCCUCACCCCUGGAUGGAGCUCAGCCCCCUUUUGGAAGAUGGGGGUGGGGUGGUGGACACCUGCUAAUUCUUCCGACCAUUUUUAUGUUUUUGAGUGCAGGUGCGUCAGACUCCCUUUAUCUUCCCCAGCCUUACAAUGUCCCGCAAAGCCCCCCUGGCCCUCUCCAAGACACAGCAUUUGGCUCUUCCCAUGAGCGGCCCUGGGGAGGAGUUGGGGGAUGGGAAGGGGCUGGACGCAGCAUGUGGAGGGCAACUUGCCCUGGGACUGCAGCUGGCCAGAGGCAGACAAGCAUCCUGAAGGUCAAGCUAGAAGCUUUGAGUGGCGGUAGGAUUC